AUGCCUACACCACUGCCAUCUUCUAGGGUUUAUAAAAACAUACAAUUGUAUUCUUUGCUCUGCACUACAGUUCAUUUAUCUAUAGCACUAAAUCAACUGAGCUGUUACUGCUCCUUGUUUCCCUUACUGUUACUCUUGAUCUUCCAUUUUUUGUCGUUGUUGAUGGUUUUAGAUCUACUUCCCAGCAGUGACAAAAAUAUGACCAACCAGCUAGACCUCAUCAGACUGGUAAAAUUAUAUCAGUCCAGAAAGUGGUGCUUUCAGACUAGUAAAGAUGUAGUGCAGAGCAAAGAAUACUGUAAAAGUAUAUCAGUCCGGAAAGUGGUGCUUUCAGACUAG
rnacentral:rRNA from 1 species